rnacentral:other from 1 species
UCCCCCUGCGCAUGUAACCAGGAGUCUGCGCCCCGCGAGUCCCGGGAGCGCCGCCGGCCGGUGCCAGGCGUGCCGGGCCAUGCAGCCUCAUCGUCGGUGCAGCUCCGCGCGGCGGUAGCGCCCCCUGCGAAGCGGCCCGUGAUGCCCCGGCCCCUGUAAACCUCGCCACCCGCUGGAACACGUUCAUUCCCGGACACACUCAGCUUUGGACACGCACCACUUGGCGCGUCUGCGACUAGCGCAGCGAGCGGAGAGGGCAGAGAGCGCCGGGAAGGCCUCCCCGCCCGGGCGGGGGAAGCCGGCGGCUGCAGCGCGGGAACACGCACUCCGCCUGGCACUGGCGGCUAGGG